AACGAACGCUGGCGGCAUGCCUAAUACAUGCAAGUCGAACGAUCCCUUCGGGGAUAGUGGCGCACGGGUGCGUAACGCGUGGGAAUCUGCCCUUGGGUUCGGAAUAACGUCUGGAAACGGACGCUAAUACCGGAUGAUGUCGAUAAGACCAAAGAUUUAUCGCCCAGGGAUGAGCCCGCGUAGGAUUAGCUAGUUGGUGGGGUAAAGGCCCACCAAGGCGACGAUCCUUAGCUGGUCUGAGAGGAUGAUCAGCCACACUGGGACUGAGACACGGCCCAGACUCCUACGGGAGGCAGCAGUAGGGAAUAUUGGACAAUGGGGGCAACCCUGAUCCAGCAAUGCCGCGUGAGUGAUGAAGGCCUUAGGGUUGUAAAGCUCUUUUACCCGGGAUGAUAAUGACAGUACCGGGAGAAUAAGCCCCGGCUAACUCCGUGCCAGCCGCCGCUGUAACAC
rnacentral:rRNA from 1 species